rnacentral:rRNA from 1 species
UACAGAGGUCUCAAGCGUUGUUCGGAUUCAUUGGGCGUAAAGGGUGUGUAGGUGGCGCCGUAAGUCGGGUGUGAAAUUUCGGAGCUUAACUCCGAAACUGCAUUCGAUACUGCGGUGCUUGAGGACUGGAGAGGAGACUGGAAUUCAUGGUGUAGCAGUGAAAUGCGUAGAGAUCAAGUGGAACACCGGUGGCGAAGGCGAGUCCCUGGACAACACCUGACACUGAGGCACGAAAGCUAGGGGAGCAAACAGG